UGGACAGAUUAUUAUAUUCGACUGUAUUCACGGCGUGAAAUAGGGGAUUACACUGUUUUUAAACGGAAAGUGAAUCAAUUAACAUAAUAGACUUCU
rnacentral:pre_miRNA from 1 species